UGGAAGCACAAAUCGGAGACCAAUCAGCUCAAUGGACUGCUUGCUUUGAAUUUCUUAAGAAAGGCUUGUUUUCUUUUAAGUGUACGUGAAAGGGAAUACAUUCCUCGCUGUCGUCUGAUUGCAACAAUUAGUUUCCCUGCCACGAAGAAUCACAAGCGGAGCAUUGACUCCUGCUGGCCUCCCGCCCACCAGUGUGCCAAGAAACAGUCCAUUUUGAAAACACGGUGUGCCUUUGAGGGAGAAGCUGAAUACUUUCUCCCAUUAAGUCGGGCAACAGGCAGCUUAUCGGCCAUUUUCGCGCAAUCAAUUCUCUUGGCGACCCAAGGGCACCGUCCGCUGAAAUUUACACAAUGCCCUUCGUUUCAGCAGGGCUUGCACAGAGCCGAAGAGAAAACCAGCGAGAGAAGUAGCUGAUCCAGGAAGUGGAGCAAAGCCUGGAGUGUGAAGACAUGCAAUAGUAUCUAAUCAUUACACAAACUGUAAAAAGGUAAAGGGACCCCUGACCAUUAGGUCCAGUCGUGACCGACUCUGGGGUUGCGGCGCUCAUCUUGCUUUAUUGGCCCAGGGAGCCGGCGUACAGCUUCCGGGUCAUGUGGCCAGCAUGACUAAGCCACUUCUAGCGAACCAGAGCAGUGCACAGAAACGCUGUUUACCUUCCCGCUGGAGUGGUACCUAUUUAUCUACUUGCACUUUGACGUGCUUUCGAACUGCUAGGUUGGCAGGAGGAGGGACCGAGCAACGGGAGCUCACCCCGUCGCUGAUCGGCAAGUCCUAGGCUCUGUGGUUUAACCCACAGCGCCACCCGCAAACAAACUGUAGCAAAUCAGAAAUUCAGCAGCCACAGGUGAAUGGAGAACUAAGUUGCAAUUAAUGCAAAGGAAGAGGAGGGUAUGAACGCAAGAAAAGCCCUGCAGGAUCAGGCCAAAGGCCUAUGUGGUCCAGCAUUCUGCUUGCCACAGCAACCAGCCAGACAACUCUGAGGAGCACACAAGGAUGUGGCUGCCAUAGUGCACUCCUGCAAGGAAUCUUGUCAGUGCAAAUCCACAGAAACCUAAACGCAAGUGAAUUUUUCAGGGCCACCCCAUUCCUGUGAUUGUUGUUUUCUUUUGUUUUGCCCUUUUCUGAACUUUUUCCAUCUCCUCAAUACUCUUUUUGAGGUGAGGAGACUACGCUCUCCCAUAGCAGGUUCAUUUCCAAUGACAAUAACAGAAAACACUCUUACGGUUCUCCUCCGAUUUUACCAAAAGAAUAAUGCACCAAUGUCUCCUGUUCCCCUUCACCUCUAUUUUACUUUACAUGUAAUCUGAUGAAGAUUUAUAGGGGACUCCAAAGCUCGCCCAAUAUUUCUUUUUUUUUUUUAAGAUAUAAGAAGAUUAAUAUAAUUAUCAUCAUAUAUACUCCUGGUAUUGAACACAAUUAUAAAAUUUAUAGAAAAGACAUUUAAAACUGACUUCCAAUUAAUCUCACUGUACUUUGUCUAUCCAUUACUUUAUACCUCACAGUUACAUAUUUCUUAUAUAAUUUCUUUUUAGCUCCCUACAAACUUAUAUUUAUACAAUACAGGGAUUAGUCUAAUUCUGCCAAGAUGUUUCCUUUUAUUCCAUAGUUUUUCUAAAUAUUCUUUAAAGAUUCUCCAAUCCUUAUAGACUUUUAUAGCUCACCCAAUAUUUCAUGACAUUUAUGCUGGUCCCAAUAAAUUGCCCAACUGCGUGGACCAACACACAGCUAACUGUGUAUUUUUCAAAGUGCAAAAUAGCACCCCUAAUUUCAUCUGUGAAAUGCUGGGACUGACAGUGCAUAGGUGCUCGUACGCACGAAUAGAACAUUUUGGUGGCAAUUGUAGAAUCCAAGUUAUUGGACUCUUGCAGACCAAACUUGUUCCGCAGGGACCCAGCUCCUACAGUCCUGACCUCUCCAAGCCUUUCUUUGGGAUCAAUUAACCUAAAUGGCUGACCUCUUUCUCCCAAUCUGUUUCUCUCCCACUUAAAAAAAAACCACCCAGGCAGAUAUGAGCACUCUUGUGAAGAGGCUCUGAUUGCCCUAUUGUUUUCAAAAGUGGUUGCAUGUGGAGCAAGGCUGAUGGUAGGUAGCUGCUGGAGAAAACUCUGUACCACUUAACCGCCACGUUCCUCCUGGGGUCAUUAAUUAGGACCAGAAAAAGAAACUAAAAUAAAGAUCAUGGAGGUACUUAACGUGAUUGCUAGGAGCAACGCAGAACCGAAAAGGGCAGAGUCAAUGGACAUCAAAGAUGCUGUGGAUCUGAAAAUGAAAUCUGUCUUAAGAAUGAUACAAAACGUCCCUGACUAGCAGGGAUGUGGAGAUGUCACUUGUCCAGGGUCUAGCUCAGCCUUCCCCAACCUGGUGCCCUUCAGAUGCUUUGAACAACAACCAGGAAUGAAAAGGGAAAAUAUCCCACAUGUACCGGUGAGUCCAAUCUUCAUAAAAAGGGGAUGGGGAAGGAAGGAAGGGGAAUAAAAGUUCAGGCUAAGUUCAAAUUGAAAGCUAGGUGGAAUAGCUCUGUCUUACAGGCCCUGUGGAAGGAAGUUAAUUCCUGCAGGGCCCUGGUCUCAUGGGACAGAGCAUUCCACCAGGUCGGUGCCAUCACUGAGAAGGCCCUGGCCCUGGUGGAGGAUAAUCUGACUUCCUUAGACUGAUGAGGUCUAAAGGAAAGCAGAGCAAGAUGUUUGGCACCAGCAUACGAGGAGCCAUCCAACCAUCUUAGGCAGAUUUGUGUAGGGUUUACUCCUUUCCCUUUUCUUCUCCUGAAGAUAUCCCGUAUGUACCGGUGAGUCCGAGUCAGUAUAAGACAAUUCUGUUAUAUUCCUAAUGGGUGUUUGAAUGCUGGAGUUUUCUUUUCCCCAGGCGCACUGAAGGGUGAUCGUGAUCAUCCAGGGCGAUUGCCUGCUUAUUCCUAUGAAACAAAAACAUAUAUCCAUAGACUAAUCAAAGGUGUUUCUAAUUUAUUUUCCAUUACCCUUAACUUUCACUUACGCUGCAGAACCCCGUCUUGUAGACCUCCCCCUUUCGCACAAAGUGUCUAUUUAAGGAAGUAGGUAAAAGAACUUAAAAAUAGCUAUUCUCAUUCAGUUUAUAACACACUUGUUAGCAUUUCUGACGUUGACAAUUCAUAGACACUAAAAUACACACGGGAGCUUGGGCUUGCCUGAGGGGGAAGCAACAUGCCCUCCGGUCACCAGGUAAAGCUAUCCAAUUUGGCUUCUAUUGACUCUUAGCCAAGUGGACCAGCUAAAAUUAAUAUCUAUCUUUGUUAUUGUAAGAUUUUGUUUCUUCUGCUGCUGCUCCCUGCCUUGGAAGGGAUUCGUGUGUUCUAGUUAACACUAGAUACAGAUCCAAAUAACUUGUGGCUUUUAUAUUUUUCCAAAGGGAGAACAUCGAUUGCUUCUUUGACCCGCUUCGUUUGAUUCAACUUGAGGCGCUGUGCUUUUGGCACACUACCUAAUUAGUCCUCAAAGAGUUUCUGGACCAUUGUCUUUAAGACACGGAGCAGAGCAGCCUCCAUCAGGAGAGAUGGAACUGCCAGUUGCUUUCUGCCAUGAUGGCUAAGGAAAGCCUCCAUCUUCACAGGAAGUAGAUCACUGUACAGUGGUACCUUGGGUUACAGAUGCUUCAGGUUACAGACUCCGCUAACCCAGAAAUAGUACCUCGGGGUAAGAACUUUGCUUCAGGAUGAGAACAGAAAUCGUGCUCUGGCGGCGGGAGGCCCCAUUAGCUAAAGUGGUACCUCAGGUUAAGAACAGUUUCAAGUUAAGAACGGACCUCCAGAACAAAUUGCCGUAUUUUGCGCCCCAUAGGACGCUCCGGCCCAUAGGACGCACCUAGUUUUUUUGGGGGGAAAUAAAGAAAAAAAAUUAUUUCCCCCCCAGGUGCGGGGCUGGAAGAACCAGGUCGGGGAAGAGCGGGAAGGCGCGCUCUGCCUCCCCGCUGUCCCCCGAGGUUGUGGGGCUGGUGAUGGGGAGAAGUGUGCUGAUCCCGGGACUGCAGGCAGCUCUGCGCAGCCACCGGGAGCGGGGCGGGACUUCGCGCCCCGCUCCCGGUGGCCGCGCAGAGCUGCGCUGAGCCCGGGACUGCAGGCAGCUCUGUGCGGCCAUCCGGAGCGGGGCGG
ensembl:lncRNA